GAUGAACGCUAGCGGCAGGCUUAACACAUGCAAGUCGAGGGGUAGAAGGAGCUUGCUCCUUUGAGACCGGCGCACGGGUGCGUAACGCGUAUGUAAUCUACCUUUUGCAGAGGGAUAGCCCAGAGAAAUUUGGAUUAAUACCUCAUAGUAUGUGAGGAUGGCAUCAUUUUCGCAUUAAAGUCACAACGGCAAAAGAUGAGCAUGCGUCCCAUUAGCUAGUUGGUAAGGUAACGGCUUACCAAGGCUACGAUGGGUAGGGGUCCUGAGAGGGAGAUCCCCCACACUGGUACUGAGACACGGACCAGACUCCUACGGGAGGGCAGCAGUGAGGAAUAUUGGACAAU
rnacentral:rRNA from 1 species